GAUGAACGCUGGCGGCGUGCCUAAUACAUGCAAGUCGAGCGAACGGACGAGAAGCUUGCUUCUCUGAUGUUAGCGGCGGACGGGUGAGUAACACGUGGAUAACCUACCUAUAAGACUGGGAUAACUUCGGGAAACCGGAGCUAAUACCGGAUAAUAUUUUGAACCGCAUGGUUCAAAAGUGAAAGACGGUCUUGCUGUCACUUAUAGAUGGAUCCGCGCUGCAUUAGCUAGUUGGUAAGGUAACGGCUUACCAAGGCAACGAUGCAUAGCCGACCUGAGAGGGUGAUCGGCCACACUGGAACUGAGACACGGUCCAGACUCCUACGGGAGGCAGCAGUAGGGAAUCUUCCGCAAUGGGCGAAAGCCUGACGGAGCAACGCCGCGUGAGUGAUGAAGGUCUUCGGAUCGUAAAACUCUGUUAUUAGGGAAGAACAUAUGUGUAAGUAACUGUGCACAUCUUGACGGUACCUAAUCAGAAAGCCACGGCUAACUACGUGCCAGCAGCCGCGGUAAUACGUAGGUGGCAAGCGUUAUCCGGAAUUAUUGGGCGUAAAGCGCGCGUAGGCGGUUUUUUAGUCUGAUGUGAAAGCCCACGGCUCAACCGUGGAGGGUCAUUGGAAACUGGAAAACUUGAGUGCAGAAGAGGAAAGUGGAAUUCCAUGUGUAGCGGUGAAAUGCGCAGAGAUAUGGAGGAACACCAGUGGCGAAGGCGACUUUCUGGUCUGUAACUGACGCUGAUGUGCGAAAGCGUGGGGAUCAAACAGGAUUAGAUACCCUGGUAGUCCACGCCGUAAACGAUGAGUGCUAAGUGUUAGGGGGUUUCCGCCCCUUAGUGCUGCAGCUAACGCAUUAAGCACUCCGCCUGGGGAGUACGACCGCAAGGUUGAAACUCAAAGGAAUUGACGGGGACCCGCACAAGCGGUGGAGCAUGUGGUUUAAUUCGAAGCAACGCGAAGAACCUUACCAAAUCUUGACAUCCUUUGACAACUCUAGAGAUAGAGCCUUCCCCUUCGGGGGACAAAGUGACAGGUGGUGCAUGGUUGUCGUCAGCUCGUGUCGUGAGAUGUUGGGUUAAGUCCCGCAACGAGCGCAACCCUUAAGCUUAGUUGCCAUCAUUAAGUUGGGCACUCUAAGUUGACUGCCGGUGACAAACCGGAGGAAGGUGGGGAUGACAUCAAAUCAUCAUGCCCCUUAUGAUUUGGGCUACACACGUGCUACAAUGGACAAUACAAAGGGCAGCGAAACCGCGAGGUCAAGCAAAUCCCAUAAAGUUGUUCUCAGUUCGGAUUGUAGUCUGCAACUCGACUACAUGAAGCUGGAAUCGCUAGUAAUCGUAGAUCAGCAUGCUACGGUGAAUACGUUCCCGGGUCU
rnacentral:rRNA from 1 species